AGAACGAACGCUGGCGGCAGGCUUAACACAUGCAAGUCGAACGGUUGUAGCAAUACAGCAGUGGCAGACGGGUGAGUAACACGUGGGAACCUUCCUAGGGGUACGGAACAACUCAGGGAAACUUGAGCUAAUACCGUAUACGUCCGUGAGGAGAAAGAUUUAUCGCCCCUAGACGGGCCCGCGUAGGAUUAGGUAGUUGGUGAGGUAACGGCUCACCAAGCCUACGAUCCUUAGCUGAUCUGAGAGGAUGAUCAGCCACACUGGGACUGAGACACGGCCCAGACUCCUACGGGAGGCAGCAGUGGGGAAUCUUGGACAAUGGGCGCAAGCCUGAUCCAGCCAUGCCGCGUGAGUGAAGAAGGCCUUCGGGUUGUAAAGCUCUUUUACCAGGGACGAUAAUGACGGUACCUGGAGAAUAACGCCCCGACAAACUUCGUGCCAGCAGCCGAC
rnacentral:rRNA from 1 species